CUCAGGCUUAGGCUUAGGCUUAGGUUUCGGCUUAGGUUAAGGCUUAGGCUUA
rnacentral:sRNA from 1 species